rnacentral:rRNA from 1 species
UACGUAGGGUGCGAGCGUUGUCCGGAAUUAUUGGGCGUAAAGAGCUCGUAGGCGGUUUGUCACGUCUGCUGUGAAAUCCCGAGGCUCAACCUCGGGCCUGCAGUGGGUACGGGCAGACUGGAGUGCGGUAGGGGAGAAUGGAAUUCCUGGUGUAGCGGUGAAAUGCGCAGAUAUCAGGAGGAACACCGGUGGCGAAGGCGGGACUCUGGGCCGAUACUGACGCUGAGGAGCGAAAGCGUGGGGAGCAAAAGGG